rnacentral:rRNA from 1 species
GUUGUAUGGUUAAGUGACUAAGCGUACAUGGUGGAUGCCUUGGCAGUCAGAGGCGAUGAAGGACGUACUAACCUGCGAUAAGCCGUGAGCAGUCGGUAAGAGACAUUACGACUCACGGAUUUCCGAAUGGGGAAACCCACCCGAGAUAACUUGGGUAUCGUUACAUGAAUACAUAGUGUAACGAGGCGAACCGGGAGAACUGAAACAUCUAAGUACCCCGAGGAAAAGAAAUCAACCGAGAUUCCCUCAGUAGCGGCGAGCGAACGGGGAUUAGCCCUUAAGCAUCUUGGAAGUUAGUGGAACGGUCCUGGAAA